UACGUAGGGGGCGAGCGUUGUCCGGAAUGACUGGGCGUAAAGGGCGCGUAGGCGGCCGUACAAGUCUCACGUGAAAGUCCUGCUUUCAAGGUGGGAAUUGCGUGGGAAACUGUAUGGCUUGAGUGCGGAAGAGGUAAGUGGAAUUCCCAGUGUAGCGGUGAAAUGCGUAGAGAUUGGGAGGAACACCAGUGGCGAAGGCGACUUACUGGGCCGUAACUGACGCUGAUGCGCGAAAGCGUGGGGAGCGAACAGG
rnacentral:rRNA from 1 species